rnacentral:rRNA from 1 species
GGUUAAGUGACUAAGCGUACACGGUGGAUGCCUGGGCAGUCAGAGGCGAUGAAGGACGUACUAACUUGCGAUAAGCGCAGAUAAGGCAGUAAGAGCCGUUUGAGUCUGCGAUUUCCGAAUGGGGAAACCCAACUGCAUAAGCAGUUACUGUUAACUGAAUACAUAGGUUAACAGAGCAAACCGGGGGAACUGAAACAUCUAAGUACCCCGAGGAGAAGAAAUCAACCGAGAUUCCGGUAGUAGCGGCGAGCGAACCUGGAUUAGCCCUUAAGCACUCGGUGAAGUAGGUGAACAAGCUGGAAAGCUUGGCGAUACAGGGUGAUAGCCCCGUAACCGACGCUUCAUCGAGCGUGAAAUCGAGUAGGGCGGGACACGUGAUAUCCUGUCUGAAUAUGGGGGGACCAUCCUCCAAGGCUAAAUACUCCUGACUGACCGAUAGUGAACCAGUACCGUGAGGGAAAGGCGAAAAGAACCCCUGUGAGGGGAGUGAAAUAGAACCUGAAACCGUGUACGUACAAGCAGUAGGAGCACCUUCGUGGUGUGACUGCGUACCUUUUGUAUAAUGGGUCAGCGACUUAUAUUCAGUGGCAAGGUUAACCGUAUAGGGGAGCCGUAGCGAAAGCGAGUCUUAACUGGGCGCUCAGUCUCUGGAUAUAGACCCGAAACCGGGUGAUCUAGCCAUGGGCAGGUUGAAGGUUGAGUAACAUCAACUGGAGGACCGAACCGACUAAUGUUGAAAAAUUAGCGGAUGACUUGUGGCUAGGGGUGAAAGGCCAAUCAAACUCGGAGAUAGCUGGUUCUCCCCGAAAGCUAUUUAGGUAGCGCCUCGGACGAAUACUACUGGGGGUAGAGCACUGUUAAGGCUAGGGGGUCAUCCCGACUUACCAACCCUUUGCAAACUCCGAAUACCAGUAAGUACUAUCCGGGAGACACACGGCGGGUGCUAACGUCCGUCGUGGAGAGGGAAACAACCCAGACCGCCAGCUAAGGUCCCAAAGUAUUGCUAAGUGGGAAACGAUGUGGGAAGGCUCAGACAGCUAGGAUGUUGGCUUAGAAGCAGCCAUCAUUUAAAGAAAGCGUAAUAGCUCACUAGUCGAGUCGGCCUGCGCGGAAGAUGUAACGGGGCUAAGCAAUACACCGAAGCUGCGGCAAUAUCUUUUAGAUAUUGGGUAGGGGAGCGUUCUGUAAGCCGUUGAAGGUGAAUCGUAAGGUUUGCUGGAGGUAUCAGAAGUGCGAAUGCUGACAUGAGUAACGACAAAGGGGGUGAAAAACCUCCUCGCCGGAAGACCAAGGGUUCCUGUCCAACGUUAAUCGGGGCAGGGUGAGUCGACCCCUAAGGUGAGGCCGAAAGGCGUAAUCGAUGGGAAACGGGUUAAUAUUCCCGUACUUCUGACUAUUGCGAUGG